GAAGCGCUGCUGCGGCCUCGAACCCAGGGCAGGGAAAGGCUUGGGCGGGCGGGAGCGCCGUGCGGCUGCCGGCGCUGCACAGAGCGGCCAGGCACCGGCUGCAGCGGGACCCUGAGCAGCAGCGGCUCUGGGUACGUCCUGGACACAGAAAGCGGCCACCGCCGCUGAUGUGACGGCUCUCCAUUCCCCCCCCACCCCCACCCCCCAGGUCCUGGACUGCCUCCGCAUCGCCAGGAACCGCCACUGCCGGGUGCACACCCCUCCCCGCUCGGGGUUCCCACCCAGUCCAGCUCAGCUCCCACACAGGCAAGACCCCGGGGAGGAGACAGGGAUAGAGGGUGGGGCCCACCUGGGUUCCUUCGACGUGCACUGGAGCUGACCCCCACACAGCUGGGGGCUGGGGGUGGGGGCAGUUUAUGGGGGCCGGGGUGUGUCCUGGUGCCGGCCCUGCUGGCUCCAUGGAGCCGUGGGCUGGGAUGCAAGGGCGCUCAGCACUCAGCACCCCACAGGAGGACAAGGGGCAGAAGCGUGCCCUGCGGGAGCAGCUGGAACACGUGCACAGAAGAGGACCGGGCGCCUGCGGGCCCUCGGAGCCAGGAACACCCAGAACUUCCAGCAGCUACCCUCCCCCUGGCGCUGAGGAGCCUGCGCCCGCCCGGAGAGUAGCGCUCAGCCCCUCUAACCGCUGCUGAAUCUUCACAGGGGCGAUGACAGAGGUGGAGGCUAAUGAGAAACAAGAGGGCAACCUGCAGAUCAGAGGUAGCUCAAAAAGGCCCAGAAUGCAGCCUCGGAGCCUGGGAGAGCCAGACACACACACACCACCAGGUGGCGCAUUUCUUCUUCCAAACCCUAAGCACACUGCGGGGCGCAGGUCAGAGGACCAGGUCUCGGGGGUCAAGCGGUGCGAAGGCCCCGUUCUUGCGGAAGAACGUGUCAAUGCGGCACAACUUGGUGGAGGCCAGCUCCCUCUUCCCUGUGGGGCCUGGGAAAAGACGUCAGAGGCCAGGAAUGGGUUUCUGGGAAGGAACUCGCAGAACAUGGUAGCUCUGCCUACCCAGCCUUAGGAAUAUGACCUUACUGUAUCCUCUUUGUAAGCGUGACUAAAUAAAAAGUGCUUCUGCCCUA